rnacentral:rRNA from 1 species
UACGUAGGGGGCAAGCGUUGUCCGGAUUUAUUGGGCGUAAAGAGCUCGUAGGCGGCUCAGCAAGUCGGGUGUGAACUCCAAGCUCAACCUGGAGACGCCACCUGAUACUGCUGUGGCUAGAGUCCGGUAGGGGAACACGGAAUACCCGGUGUAGCGGUGAAAUGCUUAGAUAUCGGGUGGAACACCAGUGGCGAAGGCGGUGUUCUGGGCCGGAACUGACGCUGAGGAGCGAAAGCGUGGGGAGCGAACAGG